rnacentral:rRNA from 1 species
CUCUAUUCAGACUGCCCAGGUCAACUGGGAGGAAGGUGGGGAUGACGUCAGGUCAGUAUGGCCCUUACGCCUUGGGCUGCACACGUACUACAAUGUCCAGUACAAUGAGAACCGAAACCGCGAGGUGGAGGAAAUCUACAAAACUGGGCCCAGUUCGGAUUGGAGGCUGCAACUCGCCUCCAUGAAGUUGGAAUCGCUAGUAAUGGCACAUCAACUACGGUGCCGUGAAUACGUUCCCGGGUCUU